rnacentral:rRNA from 1 species
UACGUAGGGUGCGAGCGUUGUCCGGAAUUAUUGGGCGUAAAGAGCUCGUAGGCGGUGUGUCACGUCGGCCGUGAAAACCUGCAGCUUAACUGUGGGCGUGCGGUCGAUACGGGCAUCACUGGAGUUCGGCAGGGGAGACUGGAAUUCCUGGUGUAGCGGUGAAAUGCGCAGAUAUCAGGAGGAACACCGAUGGCGAAGGCAGGUCUCUGGGCCGAUAUUGACGCUGAGGAGCGAAAGCGUGGGGAGCGAACAGG